rnacentral:rRNA from 1 species
UUAAAUUGAAGAGUUUGAUCAUGGCUCAGAUUGAACGCUGGCGGCAGGCCUAACACAUGCAAGUCGAACGGUAACAGGAAGCAGCUUGCUGCUUUGCUGACGAGUGGCGGACGGGUGAGUAAUGUCUGGGAAACUGCCCGAUGGAGGGGGAUAACUACUGGAAACGGUAGCUAAUACCGCAUAACGUCGCAAGACCAAAGAGGGGGACCUUAGGGCCUCUUGCCAUCGGAUGUGCCCAGAUGGGAUUAGCUAGUAGGUGGGGUAAAGGCUCACCUAGGCGACGAUCCCUAGCUGGUCUGAGAGGAUGACCAG